CGGUGUUUCAGGUGUAAUUCCAUUCUCAUUAGGGGAUUGUUGUUUCACUGGCUGGUUACAGCCUGUUACUCUUUUUUAAGUUUAUGGGAGUCUUAAUCAACAAUAUGUAAAAGGAGAAAAUGCUGAAGCUGGAGCAAUGGCUGAGCCUCAAGCUGAACGGAGCCUCCUUCAGACACAGUCCGAGAAGCCCCCUGCAGACAACAUCAAUCAGGUCUAGAUUGGGGCACUGGACAUUACAGCCUUUGUCUUGAUGCCAACUUCAGCUUAAACUGGCUUUAAUUUUAUUUCGGACAAAACAGUUAUUUAAUGGAGGAUGAUUCUUUUGAACUUUAGACUCAUCCUGUAAGUGUGUGUUCAACUCAGUAUGGUGCAAUGGUUAGAGUAGGUCAGCUCAUUGGCUCAAUGGUAACUUAGAUCCUGCAAGCAAGAAAUGAACAAAGUUAAAGUAUUUGAGUAAUUCACUGGAAAUUACUACUUGGACUAAGCAUGUAGUUCAGAGAUUUUUUUCAUGGUUUAAAAAAAAAUGAAAUUUAAUACUUUGAAGCAGUUGACUAAGGGGUGCAUGCAGGUAGAUCUGUUGGUGCUAUUCUGCCAAACAGCUUAUUCUGUCUAUACUGAAGAUUGUUGUAGAAUGAAGAAUGCGAUAUGUUUGGUUCAGACAGCAUUAUGUCCUUGCCCAUUUCCAUCAUUUAGAAUUGCAAACCGACUGUGUUUUUAUAAAAACAUCAUGUAAUUAAAUAACCACAACUAAACAAAACCAUACUUUUCUCCUGUAAUUAAUGUAGUGCUGUCUGGAGAAAGCAGCAAGAACAUAAUUUGAAUGUCCCAACAUUGUGUUUGUAUCGCUGAAAGACUUAAUAUAGUACAGGUCGUUCUGUUAUAACGCCAUUUCGUUAACACAAAUUCACUGUAACACGAUUGACAAAUUGGAGACUGUGUUUCUAAAGCACAAACAUUUAAAGCAUGUAUUGGUUAUAAUGUGACUCUGGCCCCAUCAAUUUAAAUAGUACUUCUAUUUUCUUACAACAUUUUCUUAUAACAUGGGAUUACACAAGAACAGCAAUACCAUGUUAAAGCAGAACUGACUAUAUUCCGACUUUAAUAUGCAAAUCGUGUCAAAUAUUCAGAUCAGUUUAUCCUGUCCAGUGGUAACAAAACUUUCCAAACUGGACUGUGGGGGUUGAUGGAAGAUUGGCUGGAGAAUCUGAAAAUUACAUUUGUUGUGUUGGAUACAGGGUUGUGUUGCCUGAUGCUAUCUACUUGCCUACCAGUUAACAAUCAGAAGUCUCUGCCAGUAAUACUGCUUCAAAUUUCACACAGUCAGGACACUUUUCGGAGAGGCUAGUGCAUCAAUGCAGGUGUUUUGUUUACGUUUUGUUUUAAGAUUGCAAUCUGUAUCUAACUCCACAAAAGUCCGCAUUACUGGUUAGACUCCUUGCCUUGAUCAGAGCCUGUGGCUGACUUUCACAAGCUAAGGCCAUAAACCCCACACAACAAAAUCAUUUAAUGUGUCCUCUGGUAUCUCAUCUGUGUUACUUGUGCUUUGUUGAAUGCAGAAAAUUCUUUGUUACAAAUUUAUUUCUUGUGCACACACUUGAAGUCUCUCACUUCUUGUUGUGAUAGUUCAGCAUAUCUUUAAAUUCCUUUUCAUCAAUAUUACCGUCAACAAAAGAAACGGCCCAAUACUGGCCCAUGGUUAGAAAUGUACAAGUUGUCCCCAAAUACACUUUGACCUCAGCAGUUACAAUGACCUGAUAUCUCAACCUAGACCAGCCUUGCUCCAAAGCCUAAGGCUACCCAUCAGCAGCACAAGAGAGAUUAGCUCCGUUAAAUAGUAAGAGUUCUGAAAGAAUCAUAUGAGACUCAAAUGUUAACUUUGUUUCUGCACCCACAGCUGCUGCCAGCAUUACUUGAGUUUCUCCAACGUUCGCUGGGUUUGUUUCCGAUUUCCAGAACCUGGUGUUUUUUUGCAUUUUUUCAGUAUGUUUGAUGGCUAGCAUCAUAAAAAUAGUGAUAUUACUUGUAAAAGCUAACUUUUGUUUCUAAAUCCAUUAGCAUUGAAAAAGGCCCUUCUGUAAAAAUAGACAGUGAAAGCAGGUGCCUUCUCUAUAAAAUCUUAGUUUCCCACUAAGAAAGAAUGGAAAUCAAUCUUGCAGCUGUUGCAUGGCCGACAUCUGUUUCAGAUACUCCCUCCAGUUGGAACAAAGAGAUGGCUGAGAACUUGUCUAUUGCACUGACUGCUCUGCUUGAUGCUGGCUGUGGGCAGGCAUUUACAGGAAUGGUGUUGGUGUAUCAUCUGUAAAUGUUCACCGUCUUAUUUGCAGCAUUGUGCCUUGCUGUCACUGGCACACCCAGCAAAAAGUGAGAAAGUAACUUAGUCUGGGCUGAAUACCAAGUGUGCAAAUUCCUCAAGAUCUGACAUCACUGACAUUUUCAGCAUCACUGGCCAUCUGGUUGCCAUAUUUAAACAGUGCCUGGAAAAUACUGUGUGCAGUCUUUGCUCUUUGUUAGUGUGAUGUUGAGCUUGGCCACUUUAGAUAAAGCAGCAGCUGUUUUCAAUUUGAAAAUAGCAGCGUCUUGAAAGGACAAUAUUUCAGGCAAUUCUGGAAAAAUGGCUUUUAGUCUCCCACCCAUUCCCAUCAUGUCCCGAGCCUUACUCACUGGGAAUACAUCCAGGAAUGCAGCCAAAUUGUUAAUUGCCAAAUGUAAGUUGGCAUCUAAAACCUUGGAGAGAUAUGUAACAGAUGCCAUUUGCCCAGUUUCUGGCUGAGCGUUGUGGGAAGAUAACCGAAGGGUCUGUUUCCGUGCUGUAUGACUCUAUAAUUAAUCAGUCAAUGUUGCAUUUAUGUAGCUUCACAUCUUCACGCUGUGCUCAGGUUGAUUACUCCAUUUUCCAAUCUCCCUCUCCCUUACUGGGUAGUGUCCAGUUCCUCACUCUGACAGCAACUACUCACUCAAAUGUUUGUCUGUUACAGUGAGCGAAAGGAGACUUGUCCCUCAAGAGUCUUAAAAAUUUGCAGUUAAGCCCAAUACAGCAUGGAAAUUGUCAGGAACGAGAACAGAUUAACCCUAACCCUGUUCCUCACCCAGAGUGAGACCAAUUGCAGUAACAGUACUGUCACAAAUGGCUGUGUAGAAAUUACCUCAGGGCAUUGGGGGGUAGGGUUUGAUGCAAAUUCAGCAGGUUCGUUAAAACCUCUGAGUAUAAAAGACCGCGGACCGCCUGCUUUGAUUUUCAGCCAAACUAAAAGGUCCAGGGAAUGCCAACAAAUUUUUUUAUUCUUCAAAACCGGAACUGUAACCAAACGAAUUAACUUUUAAAUGAUUGAUUUAAGGUCAACUGAAAAGGACGCUAGUAUCUCCCAUUGCGAAGCUACUUCUCAGAUAGUGCUCUGAAAGCUUCAAGAUCCGAUUCUCCAUUGACCACCUUCACUGUGGUCAGGAACUGUCAUAGCUAAGGUCUGACCCCUGGGGGAAUGUACACAGAAACAGGAAUAUUUCACAGAACUGAUCUGUCUUGAGUUGAUUGCUUAACUCAGGCCAGAAUAACUCCAUUUAAAAGGCACCUGGCUGGGUUUAUGAACAGCAAGUUUCCCCUGCAUGACACUGACUUUCAUCACUCCCGUAUUGACUGCCAUGCCUUGAACUGUCUGGAUCUUAAACCAUGGUUUCCCUCCCUAAAUCUUUCCACCUCCAUCCUCUUAGAGGGAUAUGAGCCAAAUACUGGCAAAUGGGACUAGAUUAAUUUAGGAUGUCUGGUCAGCAUGGAUGAGUUGAACUGAAGGGUCUGUUUCCGUGCUGUGUUACUCUGUGACUCUAUGUGAUUGAUCGUGUUUCUGAAUGUGUGUGUCCACGUGUCAACAGGGAUAGUUCUGUAUGUGAAACUUUGGUGGGCUGACUAUAGUUAAUCCUAAAAUGUAAUAAGCCAUUGAGAGAAAACUUGCAUUUAUACAUUCACACAAACAAACCUUAUAUAUUUGUUAUGCAUGUUAAAGACAAGUUUUUAGUUUUAGUUUGCUAAUAGGUAAUUCAGAUGUUCUGCAUGGGAAAGAUGUUGCACCAUAUGCGUGACAUGACAUGGGCAUAAUUGAGAAUCCAUUCACAUGGGGUCAGCUUUCCAGGGGAUGCCCCACUCCUGUGUCUUCCACCAUCCUCAAACAUCAGCAAGACCUUGGUUACAACUGCUCUAGGACAUCUACCACCAAGCCAUUGCAAAAAACAUACUUUUGUGGAUUUGUCAGUUCUGCCCAUUUUUUAGUUUGCAUGUAAUCUGAGAUUGUAGGAUAUUUGGGUACAAUUUGACAUCAGGCCAAUAAGUCCAAUUUCAGUGCAACUUUUAAGACAUGCCCAAGGAAGAAACACCAGGCCCAUCACCAAAAUGACAGUCCUUCAAGACAUUUUACCUCCUUCGCAUGUGCAUUUCUCUAGUUUCCCCUGCAUGAUACUGAUUUUCAUCACUCCCCUAUUGACUGCCAUGCCUUGAACUGUCUGGAUCUUAACUUGUGGUUUCCCUCUCUACCCCCAUCCUCUUUUAGGACACUCCUUGAAACUGGCUUUUUGCCAUGUUGGUUACCUGUUGGUUAUGCAGCUUGGUACCAAAUUUCAUUAUCCACUCUGUGAGGUGUCUUGCAUAAAGGAAACCAAUAGAAGCGAGCUGAUAUUGAGUACAGCAUCAUGUUUUAAAUAUGCAGGAAUCCCUAAGAAAUGUACAAUGCAACUCUCAAUGAUGACUAUGGAAACACAUUUCAGAAGUGGGGGGGUGGGGAAGAGGUGUGUGUGUGUUCGUGCCCCAGGUCACAGCUGUUGACCAUGGGGGCAAAACGGGACAUUAUGGGAGCUGUAAGUACAAACACAUGUAAAAACGUGCUGCUUGGCCAUGUUUGAUGUGAACCUUUACCACAGAUUUUUCUUUAUGUGGCUUUUACGUAUCAAAGGAAAACAGCACCUUUAACUGAAAUGCUCAUGUUUACAUACCUUGGUGUUUCCUUUUAGAUGUUGACUUGUUUAGGCUGUAGUUUCUAGUAGUUACACAGUUGUGCCACAAUUGUUACUUAUACAAGAAUGACAAAUAAUCCUCCAGUUGGAAAUACAUCGGCAGUGAUGCAAAGCUAAACCUAUUGGAUAUCCAAUGGUUGAUGUGGAAUGUUUAUGCAGUGUCAGCUCAUAAAUGAAACUGUAAUUGAACCCUUAGAAUUCAUGCAUUAUUUUCACGUAUAAAAUUGGGUAAGUUUUAGUGAAAUUGGUCAAGAGCAAAGAUUGGCGAAAGAGAAAAUGAUGUGUUCUGAUCGGUGCGAUUUUCCAAAAACAUAAUAAGACGCAACAUUGGACAAAGCAAAAGCAAGAUUUUUGAAUGAAUGGAUAAUCAACUGUUAAUCGAGUAACCAAGAGUAAAAACAAAAUACUGCAUAAAUAGUCCCAAAGCUUUUGUGUGAUUGCUUUUUAUUGUGUAAGCUAUUGUAAUAAAUGAAAUUAUAGAUCAGUGUUAACAAACCAGUUCCAGAUUUGAUCUUUCUAAUAGAUGAUGACAUUUUGGCUGGAAUAUAGCUGUCUCAUGUAAAUCCAGAUGAGCUGUGACUUAGUAAAUCACGUUGAGCAUCAAAAUCUAUCACAGUCAAUUAAACUUUGUACCUCAGUGACUCAAUAACAGAACUGUAACUAAAUUGAAAGCACGGAAGGAAUAAACUUGUACAUUAA